GAAAGUAUUUGUUAGUGUUUUCACUUGAGGGUUUUGACUUGAGAGGGUUUUCAUGGGAGAGUGUUUUAAGUUUUUUGAGGAGGGGUUUUGGAGAGGGUUUUGACUUGAGAGGGUUUUCAUGGGAGAGUGUUUUAAGGUAAGGGAGCAGGGGUUUUGGAGAGGGUUUUGACUUGAGAGGGUUUUCAUGGGAGAGUGUUUUAAGGUAAGGGAGCAGGGGUUUUGGAGAGGGUUUUGACUUGAGAGGGUUUUGACUUGAGUGAAGUUUUUUGAGGAGGGGUUUUGGAGAGGGUUUUGACUUGAGAGGGUUUUCAUGGGAGAGUGUUUUAAGGUAAGGGAGCAGGGGUUUUGGAGAGGGUUUUGACUUGAGAGGGUUUUGACUUGAGUGUUUGAAGUUUUUUGAGGAGGGGUUUUGGAGAGGGUUUUGACUUGAGAGGGUUUUCAUGGGAGAGUGUUUUAAGGUAAGGGAGCAGGGGUUUUGGAGAGGGUUUUGACUUGAGAGG